GACGAACGCUGGCGGCGUGCUUAACACAUGCAAGUCGAACGGAAAGGCCCCCUUGUGGGGUAAUCGAGCGGCGAACGGGUGAGUAACACGUGAGUAACCUACCCUUGACUUUGGGAUAACUUCAGGAAACUGGGGCUAAUACCGGAUAGGAGCUCCUGCUGCAUGGUGGGGGUUGGAAAGUUUCGGCGGUUGGGGAUGGACUCGCGGCUUAUCAGCUUGUUGGUGGGGUAGUGGCUCACCAAGGCUUUGACGGGUAGCCGGCCUGAGAGGGUGACCGGCCACAUUGGGACUGAGAUACGGCCCAGACUACUACGGGAGGCAGCAGUGGGGAAUAUUGCACAAUGGGCGGAAGCCUGAUGCAGCAACGCCGCGUGCGGGAUGACGGCCUUCGGGUUGUAAACCGCUUUCGCCUGUGACGAAGCGUGAGUGACGGUAAUGGGUAAAGAAGCACCGGCUAACUACGUG
rnacentral:rRNA from 1 species